UACAGAGGGUGCUAGCGUUGUUCGGAAUCAUUGGGCGUAAAGGGCGUGUAGGCGGUUUGUUAAGUCAUGUGUGAAAUCCCUCGGCUCAACCGGGGAACGACGCAUGAAACUGGCAAGCUAGAGUACCAAAGAGGGGGGUGGAAUUCCCGGUGUAGCGGUGAAAUGCGUAGAUAUCGAGAGGAACACCAGUGGCGAAGGCGAGUCCCUGGACACUUCCUGACACUGAGGCACGAAAGCUAGGGGAGCAAACAGG
rnacentral:rRNA from 1 species